AAUCACAGAAGAUCUGCAUAAGCUCUCCCGUGAGUUGAUAACAGAUAUUUUAGACCUGGCAGAGAAUGUUGACGCUGGAAUUUCGGACCCUGAACAUGUGGCUAGCAAAGCAGAGGGAUUUAUUGAAGUUCUUGGAGUUAUUUCCGGUCUCUCUGACCAAGAUAUUGACCGAAGAGUGUUCGCAAACUUAGAAGAAGUUCUCCAGCGCUUCUCCCGUACGGGGCCGCAGCACACACCCGGAGCAGGGCGCCCGGCUUUUGACAUCCCCACUGCCGCUCUACAGCAUCAUGUCCGGUGUGGGCUACCAGCGAGUGAAAUUGCCGAGAGGUUUGGAGUUUCGAAGAGGACAAUCAGAAGGCACAUGAAACAUAGUGGCCUAAGGUAUUCACAGAAAGACAGAUCUCUACACACCUGUUGCUGAUGAGGAGUUGGACCGUAUUGUAAGUCCACAGAAGCCAUCCAAACACCGGCUACAAGCUAAUGCGUGGAUAUUUGAAUGCUAGAGGUGUGCAUGUUCCAAUCUCAAGACUGAGAGAGUCUUUGCACAGAGUGGAUGCUGAGGGAGUGUACAUGAGACGUCUACGGCUGCAUGUAAUAAGACGACGGCAGUAUUCUGUUCCUGGCCCAAACUCUUUAUGGCACAUAGAUGGUCACCACAUGCUUAUAAGGUGGAGAUUUGUUGUCCAUGGUGGGGUGGACGGAUUCAGUCGACUGGUGGUCUACCUGAAUGUGGCUGGCAAUAAUAGGGCUAGCACUGUCCUACAGAGCUUUAUCAAUGCCGUUCAGCAGUACGGGCUGCCGUCAAGGGUACGGUCUGAUAAAGGAAGAGAGAAUUCAGACGUAGCAGAAUUCAUGAUCAGGAGCAGAGGUACCAACAGGAACUCUCACAUCACAGGCAGAAGUGUACACAAUCAGCGAAUAGAGAGGAUGUGGAGAGAUGUUUAUGAGCAUGCCCUAGACCUCUUCUAUCAGAUCUUCACUUCAUUGGAAGAUCAGGGGACACUCAAUCCAGACAACGAAGUCCAUCUUUAUGCCCUGCACCAAAUCUUCCUUCCCCAAAUUUAGAGAACCCUCAGCUCCUUCAGAGAUGCUUGGAACUUUCAUGGACUUAGAACUGAAAGGAAUCAAUCACCUAAUGAACUCUGGAGAAGAUACAGAGAGCAAGGCCCCAUGGAGGAUCCUGCAGAGGUUUACGAAGACUAUGGGAUCGACUGGAAUGGGCCUCACAAUCAGCAUGGAGACACUGUGUCAGUUCCUGAGAUUCAGAUGGCCCGUGAGCUCUCAGAUGAAGAGGUUGCCAUUUUGCCAGUUUCAGGAGUUUCUUUAAAUGAUGCAAUUGGAUCAUAUUUGGAGACAGUGCAAGUUUUGUCAAGAAUCAUUGGAAACUGAUACCUUAACCAGGCUUUAUAUUUUAUUUAUUAAGCAUGUGCAAAUGUCACUCAUGAAUUAGUUAACUUGAUUUGUCAAUACAAAUCUGAAAUAAUAAUAUGCUGUUUUAAUGCAAAUAAAACCAAUUUUUCUAGCAUAAAGAGACAUUGCAACAACCUCAUGUAGCCAAUGACAACAGGCAAGGACAGCAAGGUAAUGCACACUUAAGUAUCAAACAGUUGACAGAAGAGCAACAACAAAGCAGUAUCAUUUUCAGGGAAAGAAAAUACUACACUGUAUUUUAAAUGUUAGAAAAACACUGAACUCACUUCACUCAAAUUGACCUUUUCUACUGAAUAAAAGCACAGCAACAUCA